rnacentral:rRNA from 1 species
AUUGAACGCUGGCGGCAGGCCUAACACAUGCAAGUCGAGCGGUGCGGGGGUCGGGUGAGUAAUGCCAAGGACUCUGACUGGCACUGGGGGAUAACGUCCGGCAACGGGCACUAAUACCACUAACUAUCAGACGAGCCUAGGUCGGAUUAGCUCGUUGGUGGUGUAAAGGCCUACAAAGGCCCCGAUCCGUAACUGGUCUGAGAGGAUGAUCAGUCACACUGGAAGUGAGACACGGUCCAGAAUCCUACGUGAGGCAGCAGUGGGGAAGAUUGGACAAUGGGCGAAAGCCUGAUCCAGCCAUGCCGCGUGUGUGAAGAAGGUCGUCGGAUUGUAAAGCACUUUAAGUUGGGAGGCGUUACCAACAGAAUAAGCACCGGCUAACUUCGUGCCAGCAGCCGCGGUAAUAC